CUGUUAUGUGCUUUUGGGAAAUGGAAUAUUUCAGCAGUUUAAAGAAGUUCCUCUACUAUGGUAUGUUUCCUGCUUCCUUGUAAAGUCUUAAAGAAGAUUGUUGUCAGAACUUGAGCCAUCCAUUGAGGACAGCCCCAUUCACUGAAACUGAAUCUUUAGGAAACGCCAUGGGUAUGGCAAUAUUCUUUUAAAAAAAAUGCAAUAAAUAUUUUGCAGGAAAGGUCUAUCUACCA
rnacentral:lncRNA from 1 species